GGCUAGCUCAAUCGGUAGAGCGUGAGACUCUUAAUCUCAAGGUUGUGGGUUCGACCCGUAAGCGCAUUCCCGAUUCGUGAUGCA